GGCCUUUUUAACUUUGUUGGACGACGACGAGUAGACGAACGAAACGCGCGUCUGGCGUAUAAACAAAAUUUGGUCCUGGUAUCUAUGAUGAUGUUUUUUGCCACAAAAAUAUUUGACAUUAUUAAUAAUUAAUAUGAAAUUAUAAUACAUAAUAAAUACGAAAUUAUAUCUUCUAAAAUCAUAUCAAUUGCAUAAUUGACAAAGAAUAGCAAAGGUAGGGAGAAUCAUUAACCCCUUCAAUAAUCAUAUAUACAUAUCUAUUUCUAAAGAUGAAUUAAGAGAGGUAUGUGGGUAUGAAUCUUAAAACAAAUUGGUUGAUAACAAUUACAAGCUAACAAGCCAAAGACUGAUGAUAGAAGUAAGUGCCAACAUCGCACAUUCAGGUGAACUCUGCUGACCCUGCAAUAUCAUUGACCAAUAAGAACGAUGUAAUCAAAUCAUGCACUUGUAACUAGUGAACUCCGACGAAAAUUCAAAAAAGAAAGUUCUAAAUGAAAUGGCAAAAUCAAAAGCUCACAAACUUUAAAAGAAUGCGUAACACUUGUCAUAUCUGACUUGGUAUAGGCAUGUUCUUAUGUAGAAAAAAGUAGAUCAAACCUGUUAUUUAAGCUCACACUUAUAUGACAGUUGCAUAAAAAUCCGUUUUAUUGACAACGAUUUGUUAAGAAAACAAACAGACACAAAAAGGCUACAUGUAGUUGAAUAUGUAUAAAUGUCAAAUAUUGGAGUAUAGCAGUCAACCUGGUGCCAUUAUCUUAUUCACUAAAAAAACAAGCUAAUUUGUAAUAUAGAAAUAAAAACAGGCAUAUAUACAAAGCACAUUAAGAAAAAUGAAAGAUAUAAAUACCAAAAAAUACCAAAACAUAAUGACGGGUUGUACAAGUACAGCGGCACAUCAUAUGUAACAUAGAAACACAAAAAGGCAUAUAAACAAAGCACACUCAUACGAAAACAAAUGAAUUAAAGAAUACAAAUAUUUACCAUAGCACAAUAACACAAUGACGGGCUGUACAAGAACAGAGCCACGUCAUAUAUAACAUAGAAACACAACAUGGCAUAUAGACAAAGCACAUUAGAAAAAAUGAC
rnacentral:lncRNA from 1 species